rnacentral:rRNA from 1 species
AUUGAACGCUGGCGGCGUGCUUAACACAUGCAAGUCGUGCGGUAACAGGCGUAGCAAUACGUGCUGACGAGCGGCGAACGGGUGCGUAAUACAUGGGAAUCUGCCCUUUGGUGGGGAAUAACCCGGCGAAAGCCGGGCUAAUGCCGCAUAAGAUCUUCGGAUGAAAGCGGGGGAUCGUAAGACCUCGCGCCGAUGGAUGAGCCCAUGUCGGAUUAGCUAGUUGGGAGGUAACGGCUCACCAAGGCGACGAUCCGUAGCUGGUCUGAGAGGACGGCCAGCCACACUGGGACUGAGACACGGCCCAGACUCCUACGGGAGGCAGCAGUGGGGAAUAUUGGACAAUGGGCGAAAGCCUGAUCCAGCGACGCCGCGUGUGUGAAGAAGGCCUGCGGGUUGUAAAGCACUUUCGA